CGCGUAGACGGUUUUUUAAGUCUGGAGUGAAAGUCCUGCUUUCAAGGUGGGAAUUGCUUUGGAGACUGGAAGGCUUGAGUGCGGAAGAGGUAAGUGGAAUUCCCAGUGUAGCGGUGAAAUGCGUAGAGAUUGGGAAGAACACCAGUGGCGAAGGCGACUUACUGGGCCGUAACUGACGUUGAUGCGCGAAAGCGUGGGGAGCGAACA
rnacentral:rRNA from 1 species